ACCUGCUUCCCUUCGCGCGCGCGCACCCGCGGUGCCGAGCCCAGCCGGGAAGAGGCAGCGCGCUUGUCGGUGCAGCUCGCGCAGUCCCCGCUGGAAAUUCACCCACCUCUGAAGCCCGGCGUCUGGUGCAGGGCGGGCCCCUCCACGACCCGCGUCUCAGUUUCCGCGACGAUCUCUACGUGGUCCAGGAUGGCGCUUCUCAGCUCCCGCUCGCCCGUCAAGCCCACCGAGCAACCCUAGCGGGCGAGCAGGAGGGCAGCGGAGCGCGCGCGCGCACCCAGCCAGACACCGCGCGCGCACCCGGACCCUCGCACAAGGGCUGCACCUUUACAUACAAGCCGAAUCCCCGCCCCCGCCCCCGCCCCCUGGCACACAGGCAGUCCUCCCUCCCGACACCCAACUGCUCAGACCCCCCCCAUUCCUGAGCCCCUAGUCCCGCAUCCAGACACCCCCACUUGAUUCUGCUUCUAUCCACACACCGAGAAAAAUAAGGCACUUUCCUCCUGGCAUCCGCCCCUACUUUUGCCUAAACCAGCCCCCCCUGGGGAGGAAAGACCCCUAUCCUCAGGCAGAGACCCCGCUUCCUUAUUGCGGGCUCACUGGCCUCCAUCCCCCCACCACAGAUGCGCACUCGAAUCCUUUCUCCUCGCCCAAACCCCCUAAAAAGGAAGGAACACGCACACGCACACACACACACACACACACGCACACGCACACACAAGCGCACCCGGGGCGUUUCGCUGAGAGAGCAACCAAGAACCCAGGAAAAGCCAAAGAAACAUUGGAGAACCUGGAGGGAGGGGGACUUAGAGAUCCAGGGUCGUCCAGUCUACGCGGAAUUGAGUAAUUCCAGGACCGAAGGGGUUGCACCACUGAAGUCGUUCUGUGCUGAAAAGUUUCAUUCCUGGGCAGUGAUGAUCCGAACUGUUAACCAAGGACAUGUUGCUUGCCCCCCAGAGGCAUGAAAAACAAAUAAACAGCUUGAGCAGAUGAAUGGAGAGGAGCAGGAGAAAGCUGUGAAUGUUUACCACAACUUAAUGAUCUCUUGAAAACCAUUCCUCUCCUUAACCUCAACUAGCAGCCAAUGUGUUCAGAGAGCAAGAAAGCAUGGCAGAACACAGUGUGGCACAAGAGGCAUUAUUUAAAAUGAGCCUAGGAUCUUCUUUGGCUGUUUUUAGUAUUAUUUUAUUGCUCCAGUUUAAUAUAAUGCUGGUGGUGUCUGGUCAUAGAAAUAGAUAAAGAUUGCUUACUGGAAAUUUAUUAUUGAAAGAACCUGAAAAGGUUUGAAGGUAAAAGUUUGAUUUUUGAGACCCCUGUUCCCAUUUUUUAUUUAAAAUAUCAAAGCACACAAGCUCUGAGUAACUCUGGGGAUAGAAUCAAAGGUACUGGUAAAUUGAAUUCUUAUUUUGUACAAGAUUACCAGGAAAAAAAUUUCUUCAUGCAUUAACUGUU
rnacentral:lncRNA from 1 species